GGCUCCGUAGAGCAGUGCGGUUCUUGCGCUGUCCGGUGCGCUCGCGUCGGCCCUUGAAAAUCCGAGUGAGGGAGUGUGAUUUUCGUGCCGGACCGUACCCACAUCCGCAGCAGGUCUCCAAGGUGAACAGCCUCUAGUCGAUGGACCAAUGUAGGUAAGGGAAGUCGGCAAAACGGAUCCGUAACCUUGGGAUAAGGAUUGGCUCUGAGGACUGAGCCGGUCGGGCUGGGGACCUGAAGCAGGAACGGCACUGCACCGGGACUGGGCGGGGCUCGCCGUUGACGCGGCGCGGCCAAGCCCGGACCAGCGUCGGGACCUUCCUGUGGAAAGCCUCAGCUGCGCGGCGUCUGAGGGCUUCGUGCCCAAAGUGCUAUGCUUCGGACGGCAAAAAACAGUCAACUCAGAACUGGCACGGACCGGGGGAAUCCGACUGUCUAAUUAAAACAAAGCAUUGCGAUGGCCGCUGGUCGGUGUUGACGCAAUGUGAUUUCUGCCCAGUGCUCUGAAUGUCAACGUGAAGAGAUUCAUCAAAGCGCGGGUAAACGGCGGGAGUAACUAUGACUCUCUUGACUAUGACUAACUAUGACUUUAUAACUAUGACUUUACAAAGUGGCAAAGUAUAGUUUUCCCGACUUGUGGAAUCAGAUACGGGUUGGGCCCUCCGACACCCCCGUGGUGACUAGUGCCACAGUGAGUUACCGCGGGGUUUGGGCAAAGGAUAGUGUGGCAGCGUUGCAUGAUCUUGGGCUUGGGCGCUACGACGUCAAGUUGAUGACCGUGCGCGCGCUUCAGGGUGGGGGUUCGGUGUUUCCGUGUUCACCAAAAGAUGACCACCGUGGUGACACGGGCGAUGAUCCGCAGAUAAUGGCCGUCCCAGGGCCUGUUGUCCCAGAAUAGGACAUUAAAUGGUCCCUCUUCCCUACCAUCGUAAAGAGGAUAAGUGUAUUCCAGGGCGUUGGGCGGCCGAAGGGCAUCCCCAGAGCUCUGAGAAAGAGCGGGGUGAGCCAGUAGCUCUUUGCGCCCUCCAAGUCCUUUAAGACCUAGGACUUCCACCCUUUUUUUUUUGGAGGUUGAGUGAUUACUUCCUUCAAUAUAUUUUUUUUUUGGUGGGGAGGGGUUGGUCCAGAAUUUCUGGUACCUACAGCAAAUUGCUCUUAGGCCAGGGGUUGUUUUGGCCUCCUCCUGCCCUGCGGUCCCUGGGGCCCUGGAGUACAAAAAAAAAUAACCAAAUGCC
rnacentral:ncRNA from 1 species